rnacentral:rRNA from 1 species
UACGUAGGGUCCGAGCGUUGUCCGGAAUUACUGGGCGUAAAGGGAGCGUAGGCGGAUAGUUUAGUCAGAGGUGAAAUCCCGGGGCUCAACCUCGGAACUGCCUUUGAUACUGGCUAUCUUGAGUAUGGGAGAGGUGUGUGGAACUCCGAGUGUAGAGGUGAAAUUCGUAGAUAUUCGGAAGAACACCAGUGGCGAAGGCGACACACUGGCCCAUUACUGACGCUGAGGCUCGAAAGCGUGGGGAGCAAACAGG